CAAGAGAACGUGAAAUCGUUGAAGUGGAACCGGAGAGAGUUGACGUAGUAUGGUGGAUAAGUAUUGCAAGAAUCGCUUCAAACMAUGAAUGUGAUCGAGUAAUAUGUACGUCACCAAAGACUGCGCUGACAGCAUCGACUACACGCUCUGAACUGUGUUGACAUGUUGCCUACUCUAGUAUAUAGAAUGGUGUCUUGUGUUACGUGGUGAAGUUUGUUGUUAUGUUGUUGAUGUUGAUAAKUAUGAUUAUACAUCGAGUAUAAUUAUGUCAGUGUAAAAGUCAACCACCUCUCCGACCCGUCUUGAAACACGGACCGAGGAGUGUAACUUGUACGCGAGUCAUUGGGUGGAAAAACCUUAAGGCGAAACGAAAGUGAAGGCACGGUUAACCGGCUGACAUGGGAAACGUGCGGUAUUGUUAGCGAGACGUUACACCAUGGCCCUGUCUUGUCUGCAUGCAGAUGGGCAGCGGUAGAGCGUACAGGUUGCGACCCGAAAGAUGGUGAACUAUGCCUGAGCAGGACGAAGUCAGAGGAAACUCUGGUGGAAGUCCGUAUCGGUUCUGACGUGCAAAUCGAUCGAUAGACUUGGGUAUAGGGG
rnacentral:rRNA from 1 species